AUGAGGAAUCCUCAAGGGUGAUGGGAGGAGGCAUUUUUGUUGGCACACUCUUGCGUUUGCGAGACCCUCCUUCCAAGGACCCCUGGAAUGUUUCCAUGUUUUCAAGAGGAGGAGGACCAUAGCGGAAAUGCGACAGGUGGGCAAAAUAACCACUAUAAAACUAAAUAUAGAACUGAUGUCAACAAAACCCCUUGGACUCCAGAGUAACUGACACCUAAAAAUGCUCUGAGCAUAUCUGAUGUGAUGAGGUGCCAACCUCCAGUUAUCUGUGGCCUCCUCAGACAUCCAGGAAUGAUGGUAAAUUAUGCUCAGAUGCCUCAGCACCCUGAGAACAACUGGUCUGCCUAUGUAAGAUUGAAGCAAAGAAGGCACAAAGUACCUCAGCCUUUUCUUCAACAUUUGACACUAAGUUUCACCCCACAUCCAACAAAGAAUGAAGAUUCUCCUUGGCUCUCUUUUUCAUGUGAAUGUAUACAUGGAAACAUUUUGUGUUAUUUUUUUGGUGGGAGUAGCUGGAUUAGUUCGAGUUGGGCUUUGGCCUCUCCAAUUUUGUCUCUGCAUAAGUUCGUGACAUCCAUGUAGCCCUCCUGAGGGAUGCACUUACACAAUUGUGUGUGUUUGUGUGCGUGUAUCUAGCCAACCAGGCAAAGGUUAGGCUGGAAAACUACACACAUUUUUCCUCUAUCAUCUGUGACAUGUUGAUUCUAUUUAUAACAUCAUUCUUGGAAAUGCUGGGUGGAGAGCAUGAAGGUGAGUGGAGCACUAAAUACACUCCUAUUUCUAUUUCAGGAAGCUCCAUGCUGGAUAAGCCUUCUUCCAAAGAUAGAUGAAAGCACAUCUCUGUGACCUAGUUAAGCCAUGGGCAAGAGAAGGAAUCUUUAAAAACUUUCUGUAAACAGACUGUUUCUUUCUAAGACUGUAGACUCAGAAAUUAUCUUUGAGAUAAAAGUGUGAAAAUAAAGGCUCAGUGACAAAACUCUAAGACAGAAAGUUUAGAAAAAAGGAUCAAACAACUCACAAAGAAGGAGGACUAACUAAAGGAAAAAUUGAAAGAUAUCUAAACUUAUGACUCAAAAAUCACAUUGGAUAGAGGGAAAAGGUAAAAUAAUUGCUUACAACUUGGACAAGUAAAUCAUAAUUAUACCACAAUAUUACUUUCAGUUGCUAGCGCACUGACUGGAAAUAGUGCACAUAUAUACACACAAUAUCAAGUCAAGUAAUCAUGGAAUAUCCUUAUUUGCAAGGGACCCACAAGGAUCAUCAAAGUCCAACUCUCAGCCCUGAACAGGACACCCUCAAGCAUUACACCAUAUGCCUGAGACAACCUGAGUUGUCCAAAUGCUUCUUGAACUCUGUCAGGUUUGGUGCUGUGACCAUUUCCCUUGGGAGCCUCUUCCAGGUGUGAACCACCAUCUGUGUGAAACAUCUACUCUUGAUAUUCAAACCAAAUGGCCCCUGACUCUGUAUCAGGCUGUUUCCUCAAUUCUCGUCACUGGUCACCAGAGAGAAGAGACUGUUACCUGCCCUGCCUCUUCCCCUCCUGAGGAAGUUGUGGGCUGCAAUGAGGUCUUCCCUCAGUCUCUUCUUCUCCAGGCUGAAAAGGACAAAUGACCUCAACUGGUCUCCAUAUGGCAUCCCCUCAAGGCCCUUCACCAUUUUCUUUUAUAUCCUUCAUAUACCAUGGUACCCAAAACUGCACACUAUGAUGUCUGUGUGCAUGCAUACAUAUAUAUGUAAUAUAUGUGUGUAUGUCUCAUCAGAGAGAAUCUCUGCUGGAUAUUUAUCCUAAUGUUUCCUUGUCACCCUAGCUCCCUAGUCAAAAUAAGGAACAGUUAGAUCUUGAAAACUCUUUGGGUACAAAGGUUUGGCUUAUUUAAAAAGGGAGAAGGGGUAAGAAAUCCCUCCAAAUAUUGAUUUCUUUCCAAAAGAAAAAAAUUGCUUUUAAAAAUCAUUUUUAGCAGAGUAAACUUAUACAAUUCGGACACAAUGCUUAUAGAUCAAAAACUUCCCUGUAAAGUAUGUGCCUCAAACAUCUUCAAAUUUAUCUCAUUUUCCCCCAGCAAUAAGGGUACAGAAUUCUUCAGAAAGUGCAUAGCAAUUGAGGACCCAGCUAUGUUAUUUACUGCUUUUGUUGGAUUACUGAAAUGCUGCCAAAAGCACACAGAAAUGACAGUGAGUUUUUCCAAUUGCUUUUUUGUUUCUUGGCUGCCAGUUACUCCCCUCUUCCACACACAGUUUUGUGCAAAGUUUCACUCUUUCUGAACACAGAGCUGUAGAACCCCCUGAAAUUACUAGAAAGAAACAUUUUCCUUGCACU